AGCGAACGCUAGCGGCAGGCUUAACACAUGCAAGUCGAACGGUCCUUCGGGAUAGUGGCGGACGGGUGAGUAACACGUGGGAACGUACCCUUAGGUUCGGAACAACGCAGGGAAACUUGUGCUAAUACCGGAUAAGCCCUUCGGGGGAAAGAUUUAUCGCCUUUGGAGCGGCCCGCGUCUGAUUAGCUUGUUGGUGAGGUAAUGGCUCACCAAGGCUACGAUCAGUAGCUGGUCUGAGAGGAUGGCCAGCCACACUGGGACUGAGACACGGCCCAGACUCCUACGGGAGGCAGCAGUGGGGAAUCUUGCGCAAUGGGCGAAAGCCUGACGCAGCCAUGCCGCGUGGAUGAUGAAGGUCUUAGGAUUGUAAAAUCCUUUCACCGGGGACGAUAAUGACGGUACCCGGAGAAGAAGCCCCGGCUAACUUCGUGCCAGCAGCCGCAGUAA
rnacentral:rRNA from 1 species